UACGUAGGGGGCAAGCGUUGUCCGGAUUUAUUGGGCGUAAAGAGCGUGUAGGCGGCCGUACAGGUCAGCUGUGAAAACUCGAGGCUCAACCUCGAGACGUCGGUUGAAACCGUACGGCUGGAGUCCGGAAGAGGAGAGUGGAAUUCCCGGUGUAGCGGUGAAAUGCGCAGAUAUCGGGAAGAACACGCGUGGCGAAGGCGGCUCUCUGGGACGGUACUGACGCUGAGACGCGAAAGCGUGGGGAGCGAACAGG
rnacentral:rRNA from 1 species